AACGAACGCUGGCGGCAUGCCUAAUACAUGCAAGUCGAACGAGACCGUCGGGUCUAGUGGCCCACUGGUGCGUCAGGCGUGGGAACCUGCCCUUAGGGUGGGACUAACUCCCCGAGAGGGGUGCUAAUACGGGACAAUGUCUACGAACCAAAGAUGUAUCGCCUCUGGAUGGGGCCGCGUUGAAGUAGCAAGUUGGUAAGGUAAAGGCCAACCAAGGCUACGCUACAUAGCUGGUGUGAGAGGAUGACCAGCAACACUGGGAAUGAGACAAGGCUCGGAGUCUUGCGGGAGGCAGCAGUGGGGAAUAUUGGACGAUGGGCGAGUGACUGAGCUAGCAAUGCCGCGUGAGUGAUGAAGGCGUGAGGGUUGUAAAGCUCUUUUACACGCGAUGAAAAUGACGGUACCGGGAGAAUAAGCUACGGCUAACUCCGUG
rnacentral:rRNA from 1 species